rnacentral:rRNA from 1 species
GAUGAACGCUGGCGGCGUGCCUAAUACAUGCAAGUCGAGCGAACGGACGAGAAGCUUGCUUCUCUGAUGUUAGCGGCGGACGGGUGAGUAACACGUGGAUAACCUACCUAUAAGACUGGGAUAACUUCGGGAAACCGUAGCUAAUACCGGAUAAUAUUUUGAACCGCAUGGUUCAAAAGUGAAAGACGGUCUUGCUGUCACUUAUAGAUGGAUCCGCGCUGCAUUAGCUAGUUGGUAAGGUAACGGCUUACCAAGGCAACGAUGCAUAGCCGACCUGAGAGGGUGAUCGGCCACACUGGAACUGAGACACGGUCCAGACUCCUACGGGAGGCAGCAGUAGAGAAUCUUCCGCAAUGGGCGAAAGCCUGACGGAGCAACUCCGCGUGAGUGAUGAAGGUCUUCGGAUCGUAAAACUCUGUUAUUAGGGAAGAACAUAUGUGUAAGUAACUGUGCACAUCUUGACGGUACCUAAUCAGAAAGCCACGGCUAACUACGUG